GCUUUUGGUCAUCUUUACGAUAGAGAACGAGGUUACCAAAUUGGUUUAUGAAGAGAAAUCCAGAGGAACCAAUGAUUGGAUCGUUCCUGUUUGCAACCCACACCACAGUUUGUUCAGGUAUUUUAUGGUACCAAAUUCCAAGGUAUCUAUUGGUUGAACUGCCAGGACUGAAAAAUCCUAGUGCGAAAAUAUUUCCUUUGGAGAUAAGAAGGUCACCUUCUUUAAUGGUGUGGUUCGUCUUUAAGGAGUCUUGGGAUGUGCAAGAUGAGAAUUGGAGCAUUAUAAGAGAAAAAAGCAGGAACAGUUUUUCAGCUUCCAUGAUGCAGUAAACUGGAUCCUGGCUUUUGGAAAAGUGUUAAAGUUUGCUUUGUGGAGAAUGGAUAUGGCCUUCAGACAAGUCUCCAGAGAAGUUGCGUGACGGAAUUAGGCAUCUCUUUAAUGAGUUACUCUUUUCAACCUUCAAAGUCUAGGCAAUGACUUGUUUUUGUUAAAAUAUCAAUCCAGAUUUUUUGGAAACGACACCGUCCUCUAGUUUUAGAAAUAUGUAGGAGGCUGCAGACGCAUAAAAAACCAACAUAAAAAAGACAAUAAACACAAAGAAAGAUAGAAUUGCGUCGAAAAAGACAUCAGCCAUAAUAAUUAUGAUUCAAACUUUUAUCACUCAAUAUUUUUUAAUUAAAUUUAAAUAUUAAAGCUCUUCUAGACUAUUAUAUACUAGGAAAAACACACUAAACAAAACUUAAAAAUUAAUAAAAUAUUUCAAAGUAAAUAGAAAAAAAUAAUCUAAAUUAACUUGAAAAAUAUAAUAUUUUCAAAAUAGAAAUUUAUAGUUAUAGUUUGGAGGACUUAACGAACUAAGAUGACUUCAUAAAUCGGACCUAUAGGGAACAUUGUCUCUAAAAUCAAAAUUUAUGUUCAUUAUCAUAAGGUCAUGAUGUAUCGGAUGAAAAUCUUCUAUAUCAGUUUUCUCAUGUUGAAAAUAACUCGUUCUUAAAUUUAAAUUGUUCUUGUUUUGAUCUCGUGAAUACAUAAUCAAAGCUCUUCAACUCCUUUCCAUUCUUCCCUUAAGGUAUAUAACAAUACUAGAUAUCAACUUUAGUUUUUUAUCAACAAAUGUUGUGUAAGCCCUAGAUAAAAUAAAAUUUGAUAGUAGCUAUCUUGAAUGGUUACCUUAAUGAAAAGAAAUGAAUGGAAAAUAAUCAUAAUAUAUAUAUAUAAUUUCAUAAAUAGCUGAAAAAUAAAAAAUACAAAAACAUGAAUAAGUACCGGAUGGAAAUGGAUUAUGAUGAAAUAAAUCUACUGGGAUGUAAAUUAAUGAAAAUCAAAAUAACUUGGAUAAAAAGGUGGUCUAACCUGUAUCGGUACUUAGAAAUUUUAUGUUAAAAGCAUGAAAAGUUACUAUUAAGGGACAUGAAUGAAAUUAAUUAAAUUGUUAUAAUUUAUAAGUUAUUAACAAGGGGAAUAGGCCGGCCAUAGGAGAGAAAGAAAGGAAAAAGGAAAAAAUCAAGAGAAAAACAAGAAAACGUGAGAGAGCUUUGAAACUUGUAAGAUUGAUAGACGACUGAAAACAUUAAAUUAAAUAAGAAUCAAGUAAAGAAAAAUAGAAGAAAUGAGAGAAGGGUCAGCCAUACUAACAGGAGAAGAGAAGUUGGGAGAACUUAGAUUGGUAAGCAUGAAAAAUUAAGAUUCUUACUUGAAUGAAGUGUUUUUAAGUUUAUUUGAGUAAAUUCUCAAACUAUGACAAUUCAAUUUGAUUUAAUUUCUUAUAUUCUUGACCUUUUAAAUUAGAGUUCUUAUGAGAAAUUUAAGGAUUUCAAAAAAAGAAAUAAGCAUGAUGGAAUUAAAGUGCAAUACUAUAGAAAUAGUGAAUUUAAGUAGUAAUUAAGAAAGAAAUUGGAUUAUAACUAAAAAUGAGAAAAUAGAGGGAUAAGGUUUUGAUUGUUUUAUAUUUAAAAAAUAAUGUUUUUUAUCUUAUUUAAAAUAUUCAAAGUAUGACAAGUCAAAGAAACAUCAUAAUAAUAUAAAAAGAUAAAUGGUAAGAAUAGUUCAUUAUAGUCGCCCUGAAACACAGAAACAGUGGGGCCUUCCAGUAAUCCUUCCACUGACCAUCACUUUCUCGCCAUGUUAACACCUUUAGAAUGAUCUACUAUCAUUCUUAGCAGAUAAGAAUCAUCAGGAACCGUGUAGACCCAGUAUAUCAUCUGGAUCAUUUACAAAAGCGCUUUUGUAUAAGCCCAUUUGACUUCUCCAUGGCCAAGGAGGAGAUCUACUAAUUGGCUUUGUACCAUUAUAGACAAAGAUUUGCGGUGAGCGAUUUGGGUUGAUCAUAAGGGAAAAAGUCUCCAAUCCCAGGGUCAUCAGCUGAUCUCCAUGAUGUUAGAAACCGAUCAAUUCCUAAUUUUCGAUCGAGCCCCAAUUUCAUCCCAGGUAGGUGGGUGCUUGUAAGAUAAUCGAAGCUUUGCGAUACAAUGUUUCUGCUUCUUUUCCUGACCAGUAUCAAAUUCCCAGAAUCCAAGAGUUGAGCUGCACAGAUAUCAUUUUCUUCCACUGAAUCAUUUGUAGACCACACAGGAAGCUUUUGGUCAUCGUUACCAUAGAGAACGAGGUUUCCAGACUGGUUUAUAAAGAGAAAUCCAGAGGAACCAAUGAUUGGAUCGUUCCUGAUUGCAACCCACACCACAGUUUGUUCUGGUAUUUUAUGGUGCCAAAUUCCAAGAUAUCUAUUGGUAGAACUGCCAGGACUGAAAAUCCUAGUGCCAAAAUAUAUCCUUCGGAGAUAAGAAGGUCACCUUCUUUUUUAGAUUAAAGGUGUCCGAUCUUUGCGUGUAUCUCGAUUAAUUUUAUAAAUUUAAAAUUAAUAAUUAUAUAAUUAUCCAAUGACUAUCAUAUUAGCAAUUACUCUCUCAAACUUAAAAUCAUAAAAAAAAUCAAACUUUUUAUUCCUAUCUUCCUAUCACUGGAUACUUACUAGAUAGUUGAAGGUCACUUUCUUUAAUGGUGUGGUUGGUCUUUAAGGAGUCUUGGGAUGUACAAGAUGAGAACAGUUUUCCAUUUUCCAUUUUCCAUGAUGGGGCAAACCGGACCUCGGCUUCUGGAGAAAGGAGAUGGUCUUCAGACAAGUGUGGGACCAUUAGUGAAGUUCGGUGAAAAAAGUCUUUAUUUUGGGAUUUUUCUUUAUGGGUUGGGUGCUUGUAACAGUGGUUUUUAAAUUGUUGUUUUUUAAAAAUAUAUUAAAAUAAUUUUUAAUAUCAAUAAAUUAAAAUGAUUUAAAUAAAUAAAAAAUUUAAUUUUAGACAAUUGUUUUUUUGAAUUUUUACAAAUUUCUAUUUAAAACACUACGAAGGCCACUCAAUUUUUUUUUAAGUUUGAUUUUAAUUUAUAAUAAACUAGUUUGAUAUAAUAUAUAUUAUGGUUAUAUCUAAGAUUUUUGAUGAUUAUUUAAGACAUGAGUUCUCUAAUAUACCUCAAAUUUACUAGAUUAAUGAUAUUAUUAAAGAUGAUGGUUUUUGACAUAUAUUAAUUAAAGUAAUUAGCCAAAUUGUGAUUCAAAGAUGUGAACAUCACAAUAAUGGAAAUUGAUUUGUCCUACAAAAUCAUAAAUCAUCAAAAUAAGGAGUUUUUUUUUUUUUGAUUUACGUGGGGUGUCCGGGCCAGCUUACGCGCACCACGACUAUUCCCCACGGCCCACUGUAGUUUUUUCAAUCAUCAUUCAUCUAGUUGAAUUAAUUUUUUUUUCAAACUAAGGAGUUUUAGAUUAGGACACAUUAUGCUUAAAUGCUAAUUCCUGAGAGAGUAUUUUAAUUCAUUGCAAGCAUUCGUGCGUUUUGGAUAAGAUAUGGUCAUCUAGCCAGGUGGCACGCAUCGUUUGGCCGAGGCCACAUGCAGGGGUAGGAAUUUUUGCCUUCAGGUGUUUUUUCUAUUCUGGCUUUUCAGUCCAAGUUUUGUAUAGCUGUGAGACCUUUUGCUGACGGUAAGUGAAAAUAUCAUAAUCCCAAUUAUGAGUCUGAUGAAAAUAAUAUUUAUUUACUAUUCUAAUAUUUAUUUUAUAUGAUUUGAUUUUUAUUAGUUAUGUCAAGUUAAUUUAUUAUUUAAAACAAUGUUAUACUUUAGUGGCAUUCCAUAAUUGAUAUUUAAAAUUUAUUAAAUCAGAAUUAUUUUUAUUGUUUAACUACAAUUUUCAAAUUUAAGAAACUUUGAUUUAUUAAUUUCCCCAUGCACUGCAUCGCUUGAACUUUAGUCUUUAGGGUUUUCUUUCAAGUGGGCAGCAUGAGAAGAUACGCAUCAAAACUAACAAAUAUCAAUCGGACAACAUAUCGUGUUUUUAUGUUUUUUUUUUUUACUUUUAGUUUUUAAAUGCAAGAUUCAAGAAGAUACUGUUUUUUAAUAUUAAAAUAGUGAUAUAUUAAAAUUUAUUUUUAAAUAUUAAAAUAAUAAUAUAUUAGAUAGACGUUAAUUAAAUUUAUAAUCAAAGUUAUAAGACCGUAACAACUUUAUAAAAAAAAUUAAAAUAAAUAAUUAUGUUCAAUCUAAAACAAUCUAAAAAUAAUCUAACAAUAAAGAAUGAAAUUAAAAAUUAAAAAAAGGUUAAAAAAAGAUUUAAAUGAACCUAAGUGAUUAAUUUGUUAAAUCUACGAUUCGAGUUAUCUAUUCCACACUUGACAACUUUUUUUUUCUCUUAUAUUAUUUUGCAUUUAAUUACACAACAAAAAAUCUAAAAAUAAAGAACAAACAUGACAUGCGUGUUGGAUUAAAAAAAAAAAUUUAACUAACAAAGGUUUUUUAUUUUAUUUUUUAUCUUCAGGGGAGCUGAAAAUGCAUUAAGUAAAAAAUAAAAACAUUUUUCAAAAAAUUAACAAUCCAUCCAGGGGCAUGACCCACCCUUCCACCUGACCUAUAUAAAAAUAGAAAUUAAAAUUAAAAAUAUUUAAUGAAAAACAGGUUUUAAAAAAUAGAAAUAAAAACUGAGUUAAUAUGUUAUACCCACAACCUGAGUCAUUCAUCCCACUGAAUUUAAUACCAUAUUAUUUAUUAAGAUAUUUUUCAUUUUGUUAUACAUUAAUGGAUGCAAGAUAUUUUUUAUAUCAAAUAAAAAAAAAACAAAUAGGAUAGGCACGUGAGACAACACAAUGGCUUAUUUUUUAAAGUUAAAUAAGAAAAAAUGGUUUGUUAUAAGCCAAUUUAGAAAGGAAAAAAAAAAGAAAAAGAAGAGGUCGCAUGUAUUAUCUAUGCAAUGAUCACGAAAACAUACCAAAUAAAAUAUCAUGAAGUGAGUAUAUCAUAUCUAUAUCUAAGCAAUUCACUUAAUUUAACUAAAAAAACAAAAUUUAUUUUUUAAGAAAAGCUAAAUUUAACAAAAAACGAAAAAAAAAACUCUAGAAAACCUAAGUUAUUUUUAAAAUCAGUAACAAAACCCUAUAGACUGUAAAUAAAAAAAGAAAACUCAAUAUCUAAUUAAAUCAAACAUUGAAGGAUGAAACCAAAAAAACAUAAGCUUGAAAAAAAAACAAAAAAUAAAUUAGAACAAAUACUCAAAAUCUAAGUUAAUCUCCUAAAUUCAUAACCUAUUAAAUCUUAGAUCUAAACUCAAUAAAACAUUACAAGAUUUAACAGUUUGAUAUAAUAUAUAUAUUAUGUUUAUAUUUAAGAUUUUGGAUGAUUAUUUAAGAUAUGAGUUCUCUAAUAUACCUCAAAUUUGCUAGAUCAAUGAUAUUAUCGAAGAUGAUGAGUUUUCAAUUAAGAAAGAAUAUUAAUUUGGUGUUGAUCGAUAUUGAUGUUGACACUUUUGUUAUACUUAAAAUUAGAAUCAAUAUUCACAACAUAUAUUUAGCAGAGUAAUUGGCCAUAUUGUGAUUCAAAGAUAUUGUGAAUAUCACAAUACAUGACUUUAUUCUUAGUUUAUUGUGCAUGUUAUGAGAUAAAUUGAAAUUGAUUUGUCCUCCAAAAUCAUAAAUCAUAUAAUUGAGAUUGUAAAAUUAAAAAAAAAAGUUUAGUAAUGGUACUUUGUUGUUACUAAUCUUAAAAAGGGAAAGAAUUGAUACAUGCGGAUGUGAUAAGUUUUAAAUAGGGGUGAGCAAAAAAACCGAUAAACCGAUUAAACUGAGAAAACCGGAAAAAAAAUAACUAAAAAAAUUGAAUCGAAAAAAAAAACCGAAUUAACCAAUUAAAAAAUCACAAAAAAUUUCCGGUUCGGUUCGGUUUCGGUUUCUAAAGUCUAAAACCGAUUGAACCGAACCAAACCGAACCGGUUCAACUAACCAACACUUAAAAAAAAAAACAAGUAUAAAUACAUUGUUUUCUAACCCUGGAAUAUCUGCCAUCAGCCGCCCCCCCUCUCCCUCUCAUUUUACGCUCUGCUUUGCUUUGAUUUUCAUCCCCUCCCUUAUGGAUUUGGAUUCUCCUGUUGAGUCUCUGUCAGAAAUGGAAUUGGAAUAGUAGAUCCAUUCUUUUUCUUUUGUUUUUCAUAUAGGAUUUCUAACAAGUGGAUUUCUACACCCCCCUGCCAUUUGAUUAAUUACAAUGAAAUGGAUGAACGAUCCCUCGAAGAAUCAAACCCACUCCCAUCUACGUCCAUCAAAAUCUGCUGAUCAAAUCACAUAAAGGUCUGUUAAACAUAACCCAUUCACCAUACUGUGUGGUUGGCUCAACUGAGACAGAGAGUGACGAAGAAGAUUACUUGGUUGGGUUAACUCGCCAAAUGGCUGGGUUUGGCCAUGGAAGCUUGAAUGGGUCUUCACCUCCAUCAACUUGGGAUCUGCUGUACGAGGCUACAGGAGAAGUUGAGAGGACCAUUGGGUUUGAACCGGUUUGGAAGGGAAAAAAACCAAACCGAACCGAACCGAAAUUAAAUAUAGAUUGUCUACUUUUUAAGUGACUUUUAUUUUUUUAGGAUACAAACGGACUAGUAGGAAUGUGAGGAUUAUAGUUUCCUAUCAUAUAAAAAGAAAGAGAGAGAGGAAGAGAGGGAGGCGGCAAAAAAAAGAAAGAAACUCUCAUCUUUUUUCCUACACUCAAAAUUAUGUUUUCAUCUUUUCUUUUCCUUAGAUUUUUUAUAGUCAUACAAGACUAAGUUUUUUUUCAUGGUUGAAAGGAUACAGAAGCCUUCAGAUUUAAAAAAAUUAUGAGAUUUAUUUUAUCUUUUCUUUUCAGUUUAUAUGAUGAGUAUGAAUGUUUUUCUAUGCUUCUUUCUAUGAUUGUUUAGUUUAAUUGAUUAAAACGGUCUCUAAGUUAUUAUUCUAACCAAUCUAUUGCUAAGUUUUCUAUCAAAAUCAGAGUUGUGAUAUUUAACUUGUGAAGCGACUAAGUUUAAUACUUAUAAAAGAUCUAUGCUAUUAAUUUUAGAGAAAACAUUCAAUUAAAUUGAACAUAGACUGCAGACAGUUAUGUUGUCUAGAUUUAUCAACCUAUCUAGAUCUUAAGGCUGCCGUUGAAUUAAAUUGCUAGUGCGGACGCAGUGGUUGUUUAAUGGUUAGGUUAGUUAUACUGCAGAUUAGUUAACUGAUUAAUAUUAAGAAAAGAUAAAUAUUUAGAACAUGAAUUGAUGAAUCGUUUCAAUAAUCAAUUUUGAUUUAUGUCGGUGGACAUUUACUUGAAAAGUUUUUCUCUUAAUAAGUUUCGGUUUAUUUAACUUAGUUUGAUUACUUUAUUUUGUUUACCCUACCAUAACUUAGAUAAUCUCAACCCCCCAACUUUGAAUCAUUUAGCAUAAAGACUCAAACUAGAUCUUUCUCGUGGGAUCGACCCCUUAUUUGCUCUAUAUUAUCUUAUUUAUUUAAGUUAGGGUAAUUAAUUUGUGUGAUCGCGAUAUCGCAACACAAAUACAUAUAGCUUAAAAUAUAUUCAAAGAACUUUUGCAAUCAUAAAUAUAUUUUUAUAAAACACUUAACAUUAUUUACAAAAUCAUUUACAUGCAUGAUCCACCUAAUUUACAAAACUAUAAUAUUUAUUUGAAAAACUCAUUUUGUACGUAAAUAUAUAUUUUCUAACUUAAAAUAACAAACCAAAGUGAUGAAAUAUUACUUGCGUGUUAUGCAAAUCCAAUAUUAGUCUUAGAGACAACCAAGCACUCCUAAUAACCUAAUAAUAACAAUCACUAUAAAUUAUAUGCUCACUGAUAUCCGAUGCAAUAUAUGAGCUUGUUUCUAAUUCUUAGUUUAAUAAAAAAAUUAAAUAUAUCACUUGCUUAAAUGACCCUAUAAUUCCCAUGAAAAAUCACUCAAUACUAGAAAUGUGUUAUUACAACCCCUUAUUUUACUUAUAAAAUAUCUAUUUUUAAUAAUUAAAUACCAAAAAUCACCCAAUACUAGAACCAUGUUAUUACAACCCCCUAUUUUACUUUAAAAAUAUCUAUUUUUAAUAAUUAAAUACCAAAAAUAAUUAUGUAAAACAUAUGACUAUUAUAGUUCAAAUUAAAUAACAUUAUAAAAUCUAUUAGGAAAGGAUAAUAAAUAUUUUUAUUUCAACUAAAACAAUAUUAUAAGUAUAAUUAAAGUGGAGGUGUCAAAAAUUAUUAAGUGCAACUAUUUUUUUAAAAUAAUUUAUUUAGUAAAUAAAUUAAUUCAUAUACAAAUCAAGUUCUUUAUGAAAUACUUUUCAUUUAUUCAAAUUCUACAUGAAAAGAAAUUGAUAGUGGUAUAUUAAAAUGUUUAAAACUUAAUUAUAAAAGUUAUUCAUCACUCUUCAAAAUAAAUUUUAGUUAUUAACUACUAAAUUUCACUAAUAAAAAAUAUUUUUUUCAUAAAUUUAAAAAUACUUAAAAAAAUAUUAAAAGCACACUAAAAUUUCCUAUUAACAUAUUAAAUAGAAACAAUAAACUUUAGGGUCAUAAAAUAUUCAGGGAGAAUUGCACUCUUUAACUAAAAAAAAUUAAAGAAUAUUUAUAAACUUAUAAAUUACAAAUUUAAGUGACUUACAUCCGACAGACAUAAUUUUUAAUCCAUAACUUUGAUUAGUGCAAAUGACCCAUCAAAUUAAAGAACUUACAACAUACUAUAACUAGGUAAUAAAUCCCAACCAUAACAAUCAUUAGAAGAUUAGAUUCUGACAGUCCAAAAUUACCAACUCAUCUUUUUUUUUUUUCAAAUCCUUUAAUUUCACUAUUACUUCAAAUUAAUCUACUAAAAACAUGUAAAAUCACUUGUAAUGAGUUCCUAUCAAUCUAUGACACCAUUAGUAUUAUAUCCUGUCCUUAAAAGUAAUUAAAAACCAAAUAUACAUAAUUCCAAAACCUUUCUAAAUAACCCUAAAAUGCAUAAAAAAAAUUAUUUAAAAUAUAAGGAUAGAAAAAACAUACCUCAAAUUGGUAAAAAAAAAUAAAGAUUUUGACCAUAAAUCAAAUCUCCUCCUUGAGCUUCCUAUCCUUCUCUCUAUUGAUAUGGGUUUUAAUCGUAUGACAAGAUAGAGUGUAAGUUACUAUAGAGUAUUAUUUUAUUUUUAUCCUUUAAAUUAAUAUGUAAUUACUAAUAUAUUUAUUGUUACUAUAAUACCCUUAAUUAAUAAAAAAUAGAAAAUCCAAUUUAUUAUUUUAUUUUAUUUAUUAUUACUAUUUUUUUUCUUUCACACUUAAAAUGAAGAAAAUUGAGCCAAGGUCAACUUGGAAAUGACAAUGAAUUUCAUUUAUACAUAUCACAUGACAAAAUUGACAAAAACAAAUUCUUUAUAUAAACUUAGCUUGCUUUGAGAGUACUUUGACACUUGCAUUGGGAUCAAUAUUCUUAUAAAUUCCUAUAAAUUAUAUUUAUUUAUAUAAUUAUUUAUUUAUCAAUAUAAUUUAUUUAUUUUUUAAAAGUCUAGUUUCCAAUUAUUUUUUACUUUCAAAACACAAUUUAUUGAAUCAAAAUAUUUACUUAUUUCCCACAAUUCUCUCUCUCCAAGGGUACAGGACAUUAUUGGCGAACUGUCUCAUAGCCAUGGAGAGGCCAGAUGCAAUUAUACAAGGAAAGCUUUGUAAGCAUUCAAGAUGAAAUAUGCUCUGUCUAUAUAUACACACACCUGUUGAUGUACAUUUCAACCUGCUGACAUUAACAGAUUAAAUGUAGAAAAAGUACCACUUCCUGAUUCUUCAGUUGCAGUUUGGGUGAACACAAGUUUGAGUCGUUCAUGCGCUGCAUAUGCAAUUGUAGAUACUCCAGGAAGAGAAAAGGAUGCGUUAGAUAUGAUCUGUAUAUUCGAGUCGAUGCACUUAAAUUUGUACUUGUUUUGCGCUGAAUUUCCCAAUAAAAACUACUAUUUUCAGAAACAUUUUUCAUAAACAAAAAUAUUAGUGAGAAAAGGCGUCUGAUCCUCAAAGUUAUUGUCUUUGUUCCGUUUCAAUCACAAUUGAGUUCUCUGUACUCUUCUCAUUCUCAUGCAGAAUGCAAGGGCAUCAAAUGGUUCUCUUGAAAAGGAAUUGCUGACCGUUCUUGUUCCAACUGUGGGUUCCACAUGGCUGAUCAUUAGCAUAUUUGGUUAUUUGUGGCUCAGGAACAGAGGAGAAAAAGGUAAAGACAAAGCAAGCAUCAAAACAGAAGGUAGAUAGAGUAACUGUCCAUAAAAGAAUAGUUGACGAACACCACACCUAUAGCAUUCCAUAUGAUGAUGCUGUUAGGUUUCUUCCUCGACACUAGGCAGAAUGGAUCAGUUGUUUAGAAUCAGGAUAGGAGUUUUAGCAGUGGGUACGUCUAGUGCUGAAGAGCUAUCUGUUGUGAUGUAUAACAUAUUUGUUUUCAUUACAAAUCUAAUGGAACUUCAUAUCAGCAAUUAUUCAGACAGUACAGCUUCAGCGACUAGCAAUUUCAGAAAUUGUCACCUCAUUUACAGAACACUGUCCAUCUUCUACGUCUAAUGCUAUAUCAGGAUUAUUGUCAGAUUUUCUAAAGAGGAAUGCAGGUUGUUUUGGAGAAGGAAUCUCUGUUUCGCUACUCAACAUAAAAACAACCGCCAACAUAGAUGGUCUGUCCGUGGCAUCUUCUUGCACGCACAGCAGACCAAUUUGUAUGCAUUUCAAGGCUUCACGCGGAUCAUACAACUCCGUCAGUGAUGGAUCAACUAUCUCCAAUGCUUUGUCUUCUCUCCACAAUUCCCACACCUGUGUUGUUCAUAUAAAUCAUUAGCAUACAAGAAAUAAGAGCAGACAACAUCUAAAAUUGUGAACAAUGAAAUUCAGCCAAGAGCACACAUGGCUCUCUUAUAACUCACAUAUCCAAUCAAGGUCAAAGGAGGAUUCUGUUGAUAAAAUCUGUUGUUCUUCUUGCCACUCACAAUCUCUAGCAACACGACCCCAAAACUGAAAACAUCUGAUUUUACAGAAAAGUUUCCAAGCACAGCAUAUUCUGGUGACAUAUAGCCACUGCAUCAGAAAAACAAGAAUCUGAAGUUUUAGUAUUUCUGGUAAUCAAUGAUAGUACUUUGUCACUCGGUCUUUGUUUUAGGCAAAUGUACUUACAAUGUUCCUACAACUCUCCUGGUCCUAUCUUCAGUUUGGUUGCCUUCAAAUAUUUUUGCCAUUCCAAAAUCUGAUAUUUUUGGGUUCAUCUCUGCAUCCAGUAGAAUGUUGCUACAUUUUAAAUCCCUGUGAAUGAUUCUCAACCUGGAAUCUUGGUGAAGAUAUAAAAUCCCACGAGCUAUUCCAACAAUAAUAUCGAAGCGUUUUCGCCAAUCCAAUAACAAUCUUCUGCUUUCAUCUGUUGAAACAAUUAUUUUUCAAACAGGUAAAAUUUGACAACUAGAGUAAAUCAGGGCAAUAAAUACUUGAAGAGACUUACGGAAAAGAAACGAGUCCAAGCUUUUGUUUGGCAAGUAUUCAUAGAUUAACAUUUGUUCUCCAUCCUGAUUGCAGUAACCUAGAAGUUUCACAAGAUUCCUGUGUUGAAGCUUUGCAAUUACCAUAACUUCAUUUUUAAACUCUUCUAUUCCUUGUCUUGAACUUCUAGAUAACCUUUUUAUUGCAACCUCCAGUCCAUUAGCUAGCAGACCCUAAAAUCAUGUUACAAGAAUAUGGUAAAAAAAUACCUUUAAGGUGACUCAUAUGUCAAUAACAAUUAAGGUUGAAAGUCCAUUGGACGGCCAAUUACAUCCAUGAUAAAUGGAGAUGCAAAAAUUAAGUUAUAUAUAAAGGGUUCUUAAUCUAUUAAAAAAAAUAGUUAUGAAAAGUUUUGUAUUUUCCAUCCGCGUAGUAAACCUAAAGUUUCACAUGGAUUAGGGUCUGUUUGUUUACGCGGUUGCGGCUGCGUUUUAAAUAAACCGUAGAUUUAAGCUGUUUGGUAAAGAUAAAAAUGAGAUUUAUUGUUCAUGGGCCCCAUUGUUUUCUGCGUUGCAAACGCAAGGGGAGAAGAAGCAGCUUGGAGCUGCUUUUUUUGCAAACUGUGUUACAGCACAGUAACCAGAGGCGCGCAACUUUUUCUUCUGCUUCCAGUAACUAGAGGCGCGCAACUUUUUCUUCUACUUCCAGUAACCAAAGGCGCACAACUUCUUCUUCUUCUGCACUUCCAUGUCUCCACUGUUCACGUGAACAGUGGAGACAUGGAAGUGCAGAAGAAGAAGAAGAAGAAGGAGAAUGAGGGGCUGGGGAAAACAGGGAAAGAGUCCAACUCCUGCACCAAGCAAACAAUGAAAAGAGAAGGAGCAGAACAGAGGAAUAGAAAAGUGCUCCACUUUCAUCUUCCUCCCGCUUUGCUUUUAUCAAUAUUACACUAUUCAAGUGAAUUUUAAUUCACUUGAACAGUGUAGCAACACACGUGAAUUUAGUACACGAGUGUUGCUUUGCCCAGCCGGGUCACUGGCUUGGGCCAGUGAUCGGGCCGGGCUGGCUGGGUUUAGCCCAGCCUAUAUGGGUUGGACCAGGUCCAAUCCAAACCUAAAAGCAUUGACCCAGGUCUGUUCCAAACCUAAAUGCAUUGAACUGGGUAUGACCCAGUAAAAUAAAAAAAUCCAAAAAAAUUUCACAGAUAUUGUGUUUUAUUUGAAAAACUAAUGUUUAACAUAAUUCAAUGGCACUAUAUAAUUACAUUUGAAGGAGAUUGUAUGAUGACGUAGCAUUUGUAGAAUUUGAUCGCAAUUCCAAUUUUGUUCUUGAUGAUAUUUUACCUGAUGUUAUUGCACGCUCAGGAAACCAUGGAAACUGUAAUCCUUGUUGGAUAGAUUUCAUACGUGAUAAAAUUACAUAUAAUUUUAUGCAACAAUAAAAUAUAAUUUAUAUAAAGUAUUGUUUAUUUUAUGAUGUAAUAUCAGUACUUAAAUCGAUAAUAUUUCAAUGAAAAACCACCAAUAUUAAUAUAUGUCUUUUUUAAUUAUUUUAUAACCUUAGUUUAAAAGAUAUUCUUUAAUUAAAUACAUUAAAUUACUUUUUGUUGAACCUCAAUUUCAACCACAGUUUUAACCAAACAUAUAUUUUUCCAAACCAACCUCAACUAAAAGUACUUUUUAUAAAACAACUUUUUUCAAACCACAACCACAACAGCUACCGCAAUACCAAACACAGACUCUUUAUUCUUAAUACCACAAAGAUUUUUGAACAAUUAUUUCAACACAUAAUGAAUCAUUAUAGGAGGCAUGUAUCCUAUUAAUUUUCUAUUAUGUACAUGCAUAUAUGCAUGCCAUAUUGAUGUUAUCCUAGAUGUUGUAUUAGAGUAGAGUCUUCUCCAUUCAUGGCUUGUAAAAAUGAGUUUUUGGAGUAUCUUUUAGUCCAACAUCAAAGUCAAACUCUUGAAAAUAUUCAACAUAAUCAUUAGAAAUUAUUGGUCUCCUUGUUUGAACUAAGUGCCCUUGAAUUGAUUAGUGUUUAAAAUUAUCUAAAUAAUUUUUUUGAACAAUAACUAAUUUUUUUUUUAUCUUUAUGCAACCCAUUUAAAUAUUAUGUUUCCUCAAAUUUUAUCCUUUUAGCAAAAUCACUCCUAUUGAAAUUGAGAUCCUUGAUAAAUUUAGCAUUUCUUGCCUUAACUAUUCAUGCAUUAUGAGAAGAAAAAUAAAACAUAUAUCCUUCAGAGUUCACUAUAUAACCAAUGAAAUAUCUACUAAUUAUUCUUGGGUCUAAUUUCUAUAGUUGAGGAUUAUUAAUCCUUACCUCAAAAAAUUGGACUUCUAUCUAUUUCAUAAUUCAAAAGGUAUCUUAACACAUUUUUAGGAUGAAACCCUAUUUUAAAAUAUAUACAACAAUCUUUAAUUCUAACUCUAUAAAGACAUUGGUAAAUUAAAAGUACCAAUUAUGUUCCUUACCAUGUCUAUAAGUGUACGAUUCCUUCUUUUAGCUACAUUAUCUUAUUGUGGUGUGUUAGACAUUGUAUAUUGUACAAUAAUGCCCUCUCCUUUAAGGCAAUGAACCAGACAUUUAUCAAUUUUCGUGUAUCUACCAUAAUACUCUCCAUCUCUAUCUGACCUUACAAACAUUAUGAUAUAUUUUUUUCUCCACCUUAACCUUAUAGGUCUUAAAAGCAUCUAAUGCUUCAGCUUUAUCAAAUAAAAGACAUAGAUACAUAAAUCUACUAGAAUGAUCAUCAAUGAAUAAGGUGAAAUAUAUUUGAUUAUUUAAGCAUAGAGUAAUAAAUAGUCCACAAAUGUCAGUACAUAUGAUUUCAAAAAUUUUAGCAUAACACCUUUAAUGGUAUUGUUAGUUUGCUAACCCUUUAUGCAAUCUACACAAAUACCAAAAUCAAUAAAAUUAAGAGUGUUUAAAACUAUAUCAUUCACUAAUCUUUUAAUUAUUUCAAUGAAGAUGUGAUCUAAUCUUUUAUACCAAAACAUAAAUGAAUUCUCAUCCAUUUUGCUCUUUUUAAUUAUAGAAUCAACAUGCAUUGAUAAAUAGUUGAGUUUAAAAGUAGAGUCUAGAUUGAUUUUAUAUAAAUCAUUAAUUAACGUUCCACCACUAGUAGAAAGUUUAGUUUUUAAAAUACUAAAAACAUUUUCAUCAAACAAAAAUCCAUAACCAACAUCACAAAAUCUAGAAAUUAAAAACCAAAUUUUUAGAAAAUGGUGGAACAUAGAAGAAUUUUUCAAAUCCAAAAUAAGUCCAGAUUUUAAAAUUAAUCUAGAAGUCCCCACAACUUCAACUUCAAAGCGUAUCUAGUUUCUUGAAUAGAUGUCUUCUUCAUUUUCCUUUAGCUUUUUUAGUGUAAUAUUUUAAAAGAAAGAAAGGUUUUAAUAAAAAAAUGGCAAGAAUAUCUUUGAAUGAGUAGAUAUUAGAUAUAAAUGAAUGAGAGAGAUUUUGAUAAUUGCACAAAACUUGUUAAAUAUAAUAAGAAGAGUAAGACAAAAAAAAGAAAGAGAUUUAAGUGUUUGACUAUAAUUUCUUUUAGCUAAUAGUCUAGACAUUUAUUAUUAUUAUUAUUAUUAGAUAUUAAAUUGAUGUUUUGUGCAGAUAAGGUAUUAUUUUCUAUAUCUAUUGGGAUAUAUGAUUUAUUUGUUCAUUAAGUGUUUAUUUUAAUGAUGCAAUAAAUUGUAAUACAUGAAAGGAAAUACUUGAUUAUAAAAUGAAAUCACUAUGAUUUAUAUGUUGUAUUUUUUAUUUAAGUACUAUAUAUUUUGAACUCUAGAAAAAUAUCGUUACUUCUCUGUUCAUGUCAUGUGGGCUAAGUGGAAAAAUAAUAAUAAAAAUAUUCUUAAAUUUACCAAUAUAUACCAUGUAGAUUUUAAAUUAACUGACAAUUAAAGCUUAGAACUCAUUGAACUAACUCUAGUAGAAGGCCAAGUACAUCCAUGAUUGAUAAAUGGAGGGGUAAAAAUUUAGGUUAUCUGUAAAGGGUCCAUAUUCUAGCAAAAAAAAAAAAAAAAGUUAUGAAAAGCCAUGUGUCUUCCAUCCAAUUAGUAACUCUAAAACUUUACAUGAAUUAAAAGAUUUUAUUAUUAUUGAAACCACAAAAAUAGAUUUCUGUACAAUUAUCUCAAUAUUUAAUCAAUCAUUACACCAAGAGGAAUGUAUCCUAUUAAUUUUGUACCGUGUUUAUAUGCCUGGCGUAUUAAAGUUUUCUUACAUAUUAAGCAUCUAAACUACCAAUAAGCUAGAAAAAACAAAUCUGUAUUAUUGAGAACACAUUUAAUUUUCAGCUAGAAAAUGAAUUGAGAAACUCUACCUUAUAAACCGAGCCAAAACCACCUUGCCCGAGUUCGUUAGCUGGAGAGAAAUUGUUUGUGGCCGCCAUUAUGGUGCUGAGCUUGAAACAUUCCGAUUCAGUAGAAUUGCUGUUUAUCUGCAGCUCGGUACCUGGUUUUUUUGCCCAUGAAUCAAAAAGUGAACUUCUCCUCAUAACCAGAGGAGAAUAAAUACAUGACUAGGGAAGCAAAUCCAAAUAGAGAUUUGAGAGUCUUGUCUUACCUUUUUUUGCCCCCUUCUUGAGCCGCAAAUAAGCAGUUAGGCUAAUGAGAAACAACAAUAAUGCAAUUGAUGGUGCUAAAAUGGCCUGCAUCGUUUUUUCCCGAGAACCAUUUAGCUUCCUUGUAUUACCAGCUGCAUGAGAAUGAAAACAAUAACGAUUAACUCCAGACGAAAAACCACUCCCUUCUCCUAUGGAAACAUGGCAAGACAUAUGGCAAAGGCUGUCCCCUUCGGCACCUAAUAAGUAUCUAUAUCGUUUCUUUCACGUAGUACACAGCUUAUUAAGUACAGUCUAGAGCAGUGACAAGAAUAGAAAAGCUCUUAUAAAUCAAUAUUUGUAAUCACAAUCCUUUGAAAUUGUUACGGAGAAGAAAAAGGGUACCUAAUUCAUAUGCAUCAACACGAACAUACAGAUCAUGACUUUCAAUCCUAUCAUAUUUAAUGUCUACUAAUUCCUUGUGCCAAUUCAAACAACCAUCCCCUUUUCCGGGAAUCACAAUGACAGCGUAAGCAGAGCAUGAACAAUUCCUCUUGCAUUCCAGUUCACAGUACUCUGCACGACUCUUGCUCAUGUCCACCCAAGCUGCAGCUGAAGUGUCCGGAAGAAUUACAUUUUCCACCUUCACAAACCCUUCUCCAUGAUCGCACACCGAAGAUGUCUGUAGCCGCUUCCUGACACAACCACCGGACCCAUCUCUCAAUGACCAUUCCAUUGGGUUCUUGGGCUCGAACCCAGGUAAACAGGCACAUCCAAAAGCAUUAUAAUUGGCAAGUUCACACGUACUAUAAGCACCACAGUAUCCAUAAUAGUCGCACUGUAACUGAGGGGACUUCCAGUAUUCCUUCCACCGACCAUCACUUUCUCGCCAUGUUAACAUCUUUAGAAGUCCUGAAUGAUCCACUAUUAGUCUUACCAGAUAAUAACCAUCAGGAACUGUUGAUUGACAGUAUAUUUCGUCUGGAUCAUUUACAAAAACGCUUUUGAAUGUGCCCAUCUGACUUCUCCAUGGCCAAGGGGGAGCUCUAGUAAUUGGCUUUGUACCAUUAUAGAGAAAGAAUUGUGGUGAACCAUUUGGGUUGAUCCUAAUUGAAAAGUCUCCAAUUCCAGGGUCAUCAGCUGAUCUCCAUGAUGUUAGGAACCGAUCAGUUCCUAAUUUUCGAUCCAGCCCCAGUUUCAUUCCAGGUAGCUGUAUGUUAGUAGGAUAAUCGAAGCUCUGCCAUACAAUUUUUCUGCUUCUUUUCCUGACCAGUAUCAAAUUCCCAGAAUCCAAGAGUUGAGCUUCACAAGUAUCAUUUUCUUCCACUGAAACAUUGGUAGACCACACUAGAAGCUUUUGGUCAUCUUUACGAUAGAGAACGAGGUUACCAAAUUGGUUUAUGAAGAGAAAGCCAGAGGAACCAAUGAUUGGAUCGUUCCUGUUUGCAACCCACACCACAGUUUGUUCUGGUAUUUUAUGGUACCAAAUUCCAAGAUAUCUAUUGGUUGAACUGCCAGGACUGAAAAAUCCUAGUGCGAAAAUAUUUCCUUUGGAGAUAAGAAGGUCACCUUCUUUAAUGGUUUGGUUGGUCUUUAAGGAUUCUUGGGAUGUACAAGAUAAGAAUUGGAGCAUUAUA
rnacentral:lncRNA from 1 species